UUGGGGCUCAAACCCACGAACUAUGGGAUCAUGACCUGAGCCAAAAUCAAGAGUCUGAUGCUUAACUGACCGAGCCACCCAGGCGUCCCACGAAUUUUUACCUCUUAAGCGAUCCAAUAAUGUUUUCCAAACUUAAUUAAUUUUAAAUCGAGAUUACAAAGGAAGACAUACUUACUAUUUUUGUAAUGGAAAAGGACCGACCCCCGGGGAAACGGGAGCAGCUCCUGUUGGCGGUUGGUGGAUGUUGCUCGGACCUUUCUCGGUUACCGGGUGGUAAGCCAGCCUGUCCUCCCCACGCGCACCGCACGUGGCACCCACCUCUCCUGUCGCUACACCUCAGCAGAUGCGCCCUCUGCUUCUUUCUCGGUGGACACUCAACUGGCCACUGCUGGUGUACACUGAAGUCGGGUGAACGUUCUGUCUUCACGCAGGGCAGGAAUAGAGGCCUGUGCGCUGCUCUGACAGUUCCAGAACUGCAGUUACCGGGUCAGAGGGCACUUACACCCGAAACUCUGCUAGGUUCUGAGUGUCUUUUGGUAGAAACUCAAAGCACUUUCAACGAAAUGCUUCGGAGGAAGCCCAGAAGGCAUGUGUGAGAGAGCCGGCGCGGCCCCCCUCCCUGGGGCGGGGGGACUUGAGCCCAGGAGGCGGCUCUGCCUCCCCGCGGCCCCUCUAGCGCCUGGAUGCACAGGAUUUGUUUCUUCACUUCCUUGCUGACGGCACUUGGGUUGUUUCUGGUUUUGAUUUUUACGAACAAAGCUGCUGUGGACAUUGUCGUACAAGCCACUUCGCAGGCAUAGGCCUUCUUGGGUGAGUUCCAAAGGUGGACCGGCUGGACCACGUGCCACAAUGAGUUGAACGCAAUAGGAGCGCUGGGCAGCCGAGUCAACACAGUUACAGGAUUUCGUGAGACGGACACAUACUGACAAUCUACUACUGGCACUGAAUCACUCAGAGGCCUUAACUGGAGGCCCCAGCAGCUGGGAAGGUGCUUUCUCCUGAUGGAACUUUGAGUUGAAAAACCCUCUCUUCAGCUGUGCCCUGUCUAUUGUUCAGAAAAUUCAAUGAGCUCUUCACUUCAGGU